GCACUAUUGGAAUGCUUUUUGUCUUCACAGACAGUAUGCAAAAGAUACGACAUUCUAAGAGAGUCAGAAGCUGGACUCCUGGAGACAGACGAAUCCCCUGAAAUCAAAGUAGCCCAAGAAUUUGCCAGUCAAAAUGAAAAACUUCUAAUGGAAUCCAGCUUGAAAGCUACUCAAGAGCAGCUAACUGAGCAAAUAGCAGAAACAGUUCGCCAAGAACAGAACAGUAGAAAACUCAAGGCAGAGCUGAAGACAGUGACAGAAGAGAUUAUUGCUUCUGGAGAAGAAAAAAAAAUGAUUACAAUGGAAAGACUAAAAAGUUAUGAGAAGAAAAGUGCCAGAAAGAAAAUUGCAUGUGCAUAGAAGUGUGUGACUACAUGGAAAG
rnacentral:lncRNA from 1 species